CAAAAAUUAUAUAUAUUUGAGAAGAAAAAUAAUAAGAUUGAUAAGAAGAAGAAAGGAAAGAAAGAUAGACAUAAGAAGAAGAUUGAUAAGAAGAAAGGAAAAGGAGAAGCAGCUAAACUUCGCAAGGGAUUAGCAUUGGGCUAAGAAUCAGAAGAUGAAUCAGGCUUUUCUUUAGGAAAGGAAGUCAGCUACUCCCUCAGGCUCCGCUCGUCAGCCGACCCAGGCAGGUUGCCGAAGAGGAUUAUGGGCCUAGCCAAUAGGUAGGGCCUUCGCGCUUGAAGCUGGAUCGGGCAAAGCAAAGAAGGAUGGCUUCUGGCCAGUUGGACACCUUAUCUAGAUAGCGCAUUGAGGAGUGAAAACUUUCUUUCGUUGGAGAGGCCUCUGAAGAAGCCUACAGCUAUAGAAAGGCGGUGUGGGGGUCAUCUGGUGUCGAAAAAGUCGUCAAAGUCCUUUCCGUUUAGAAAGAAAGGAGAGGGCUUGUAUAGCAGAAGUAGCUGAAGAAGAAGAAGUUAGGAAUGUUAGCCGAAUCCGGCUAGUCUUAGAUUAUAGGUCCGACUCCUGGAAUCUUUCUCCUAAGAACAAAGAUAUACCUCUGGGAAAGCUGUAGUAUACUAGUAGGUCUUCUGGGAAAGCUGAGCUGUAGACCCCUUCUAAUAGAAUAGGGC
rnacentral:misc_RNA from 1 species